GAUGAACGCUGGCGGCGUGCCUAAUACAUGCAAGUCGAACGAAGAAUUAGCAAUAGUUCUUAGUGGCGGACGGCUGCGUAACACGUGGAUGAUCUACCCUGAAGAGGGGAAUAACACCGCGAAAGCGGUGCUAAAACCGCAUGUGGUCAAUUGAGUUAGAGAAGAUUGACUAAAAGAGCAAUUUGCUUCAGGAGGAGUCCGCGGCCCAUCAGCUAGUUGGUAAGGUAACGGCUUACCAAGGCGACGACGGGUAGGGGGCCUGAGAGGGUGAACCCCCAGACUGGAACUGAAAACGGUCCAGACACCUACGGGUGCAGCAGUAGGGAAUAUUGGACAAUGGGCGAAAGCCUGAUCCAGCAACGCCGCGUGUGUGAAGAAGGCCUCGGUUGUAAGCACUUUCUGUCGUGAGAGAAAGGACGGUAGCGCGAGGAAUAAGACAUCGGCGUAACUACGUGCCAGCAGCCGCGGUAAAGUC
rnacentral:rRNA from 1 species